UAUGCCUCUCUCCUCUCCAGCUCCACGUGCGCACACUGACCAUCAUCAAAGGGAAGCCACCAACGACACCCAAGAAACUUGACCGGCAUUUGAGGUUCUUCAAAAAGCGGCCUGAGGUGCAGCUGCACUGGAACAUUUUGGGGACACAAGCUCGCAUGUGUGCACGGCCGCGCACGGGACCCAUCAUUGUCUCUUCCGCUCUGUUGCUCCUGUCGCCGCUCUCCAUGGUGACACACACACACACACACAUACAAGCGAGCCCAAUACACGCAAACGCCGCACGACCUCUUUUUUGUUCGUUUGUUCUUUUUUUGUUGUUUUUUUUUUUUCAGUUCGUAUCGGCCGCUGUCUUCUAUUUUUUAUCAACUGGCAGUGACGCCGUGCAGCGAUGUAUUCAGCAGUCUUUUCCCCCGCUGCGCCCUAUUGCGGCGUAGCCGGCUCCAGUCACUUAUGUGAGGCAGUUGCGCUCUGCCAGUCGAUUCUGGCGCGCUACCGUCGGACUGGUACAUCCUUCUCCUCCACGGAGCUGAAGGCGAUUCAGGCCCUGCGCACUGAACUCCCUGAUACCGCGCAAGGGCCGGCUGCGAAUAGCGCGGGUUCACCGCACCAGACCACGAAUGACCUCCUCAACAUCCUCGACGAUGCAACCGACAUGCCACACAACCCACACGACGACAUUGUCGCGUUUGUGGAGGAGUGCUGCGACAACACCAAGGACCCAACAGUGCUGUUCGCGGCGAUUAAUGAGCGCAUUUCAGCUGUUACUUGCUCGCGUAAUGUCCGCACCUACAUGGUGAUCACAAACGACAAUCUCCUAUGGGACCCCGUCAACGGCGUUGCCGCCCUUAUCGACGACGUCACGCCCUUGGGCAAGUGCGCGCAAGCGCACAACAUGCUGACAAUUGCCAGCACCCUAUACAUCCCCCUCUGGUUUCGGUCCGAGCUCGUUGGAUGCGUGGAGGCGCCGAGUGGCUGCAUCCCAAGACACAAGGCUACCUAUGCUCAGCUUCUGCUCCGGAGCGUCACCGUUGCCGUCCGCAACAGCAUCAACAUCUCCAUCAGAAAGAGCGAAGCAAAUAAGAUUGAAGCCAUGGUGAGCAUGGCGACACGGCUUGCUCGAGACACGUUGGAGGAGUCGGUGCUGGUGCAGUCCAUCAUUAACACGGCAAAGACGCUGACGGAGAGCGACCGGUGUAGCAUCUUCCUGGUGAAAGCGGACGGCAGCCUGGAGGCGCACUUCGAGGACGGCAACGUUGUGGUGCUGCCUGCGGGGACGGGCAUCGCAGGCCACGUUGUGGAAUCUGGCGCCGUUGUGAACAUCCCGAACGCGUACGAGGACGAGCGGUUUAACCGGUCCGUGGACAAGGUGACUGGCUACCACACGCGCACGAUCCUGUGUCUGCCGAUCGCGUUCGAGGGCACGAUCGUUGCCGUUGCGCAGCUGAUCAACAAGCUGGACAUGGUGACACAGAGCGGGCAACGGCUUCCGCGCGUGUUUGGGCGGCGCGACGAGGAGCUGUUCGAGACGUUCUCGAUGUUCGCUGCCGCGUCGCUGCGCAACUGCCGCAUCAACGAGACGCUGCUGAAGGAAAAGAAGAAGAGCGACGCGAUCCUGGACGUUGUGGCGCUGCUGUCGAACACGGACAUCCGCGAUGUGGACAGCAUUGUGCGGCACGUGCUGCAUGGCGCGAAGAAGCUGCUGAACGCGGACAGGUCAUCGAUGUUUCUGCUGGAUAAGGAGCGCAACGAGCUGUACAGCAAGAUGGCGGACAGCGCGAACGAGAUCCGGUUUCCCUGCGGGCAAGGCAUUGCCGGCACUGUUGCCGAGUCCGGCGUUGGCGAGAACAUCAUGGACGCGUACGCUGACUCGCGCUUCAACAGCGCUGUGGACCGGCAGCUGGGCUACCGCACACAGUCCAUCCUGUGCGAGCCGAUUAUGCUGAAUGGCGAGGUGCUUGCCGUGGUGCAGCUCGUCAACAAGCUCGGCGACGACGGUAGCGUGACCUGCUUUACGCCCAUGGACCGGGAAACGUUCCAAGUCUUCUCGCUGUUUGCGGGCAUCUCGAUCAACAACAGCCAUCUGCUGGAGUUCGCGGUGAACGCAGGUCGUGAGGCAAUGACCUUGAGCCUGCAGCGCAACAGCAUUACGGCGCAGCGUGCUCCGAAGAGGGUGAAGGUGAUCGCGGUGACGCCGGAGGAGCGUGAGGCAGUGGUAUCGAUUGACUUCGGGGACGCAUAUGACUUCACUUCACCGGACUUCAACCUGUUUGAAGUGCGCGAGAAGUACAGCGAGCCGAUGGAUGCAGCUGCCGGUGUUGUGUAUAACCUGCUAUGGAGCAGUGGCCUACCUGAGAAGUUUGGCUGCCGUGAGCAGACACUGCUGAACUUCAUCUUGCAGUGCCGCCGCAGGUACCGCCGCGUGCCGUACCACAACUUCUACCACGUCGUGGACGUGUGCCAGACGCUGCACACUUACUUGUACACAGGCAAGGCGUCGGAGCUCCUGACGGAGCUGGAGUGCUACGUGCUGCUCGUGACGGCACUGGUGCACGACCUUGACCACAUGGGCGUGAACAACAGCUUCUACCUGAAGACAGACUCGCCGCUGGGUAUUCUCUCCAGCGCGAGCGGGAACAACUCCGUGCUGGAGGUGCACCACUGCAGCCUCGCCAUCGAGAUUCUGUCCGACCCCGCCGCGGACGUGUUCGAGGGGCUGAGCGGGCAGGACGUCGCGUACGCGUACCGCGCGCUGAUCGACUGUGUGCUGGCCACCGAUAUGGCAAAGCACGCUGACGCGCUAAGUCGCUUCACAGAGUUGGCUACGAGCGGAUUUGAUAAAGAGAACGAGGCCCACCGCCGCAUGGUGAUGGAAACGCUGAUCAAGGCCGGUGACGUGUCGAAUGUGACGAAGCCGUUCGAGACGUCUCGCAUGUGGGCGAUGGCUGUGACGGAGGAGUUCUACCGCCAGGGUGACAUGGAGAAGGAGAAGGGCGUGGAGGUGCUACCGAUGUUUGACCGGUCGAAGAACAACGAGCUGGCGCGUGGGCAGAUUGGCUUCAUUGACUUCGUAGCUGGCAAGUUCUUCCGGGAUAUUGUGGGCAACCUAUUUCAUGGAAUGCAGUGGUGUGUGGACACGGUAAACUCCAACCGCGCAAAAUGGCAAGAGAUCCUGGAUGGCCGCCGCGACUCCACCCGAUCCUCGAUUGUUUAAGGCGUCGGUCCCGUGGUAUCAUCGAUGCCUGCGAUGCGAGGAAGUACUUACGGCCAAUGUCUUUUGAGAAGUGAAAGCGGUGUGCUGGCUCCUCAAGAAGGACGGUAUGAGGGACGUUGGUCGCCGCUCUGCUGGUCGUGUCUACGCGUCUUGCCCCCACCUCAGUACGCGCAACAAGCCGUAAUUUCCCUUUAUACCCGUCGCUAUACUCGCGGCGCGGAAUGGUUUGUGUGCUGGCGAGACUGCCUCUCUCUGCUCCAGGACCUUUCCUGGUUGAUGGGCGCCUCUCGCACUGCUGAGGACAAGGUGUGGCACAUGUGGUUAUGUGAGUUGUGUUUGUUUUUUCGGCUGUCGUCUUCUCUCCUCUGUCCUCGCUAUUAGCCUUUUUCUGAGCGGACCUCUCUAUAUGCUCUUCUGUCGGAGGAGCGGUUUACCUUUGAAGGCUGAACUGUACAGAAUGGGAGGAGUGAGCAGUGCACACGCACGACACAUACUUCUCUCUUCAUCCGCCUCUCCUUUGGCGUGUGUGCGCCCCGAAGACGGUUUCCUGCCUUUGCAUCCUUUUCUCCCCUUUUUCUUUGCUGUCUUUCGUUGUCAUUCCCGAAUCUCACCCGCCUCCCCCUCUCCCGUUUUUUCCUCGUAGGUGUGUGCGGCUGUGCUCCUGGUGAAACGGGGUGGGGUGGGGGCACCCGGCAGCGCGUGGCGCUCCCGGGGGGGGGUCAUCCGUGCACCCCAACUCUGUCUCUGGGGAGGAAGCCCAGCAGCGCCCCCUCCUCUCCCUCCUAUAUCCCUGCCAGUGCGGGACCGCUUCUCCUGGUGACAGGGUCAAGCACCUACAACGUAGGGAGGUCAGAGUAAGAUGGCGCUGCGGAUGGCGGCCGUCAGGUGCCGGAUGGCGUUGCACCGGAGCAACCUGCGACAGCGCACACACACGAUUCAUGUGAUGGGCAGAGAGUGUCGGCGUGACUCAAACGCAUCCCACCCCCGGCCCUCACACCGUCCUGCUACUGUUGGGGAGCCUGUGCCAUCGCGAUGGGAUCGCACCGUGUGGCGACCGGCACAACGUGAGCGGCUGCGGGGCGACCUGUGAGGGCGGGUGGGUGGCGGCUAGAGUUUGAGGCGGAGGCCGAGCCCUCAGAUGACCGAGUUGGUGCACUGCUGUCACGUGUGUCUCUGCAGCUGCUUCGCACCAGGCGAUAGGGGCCUGUGACAGGGCCCGGUGCAAGAGUGGGAUUCGACCUCAUGUUGCAUGGCAGAGAAAUAGAUAUGCUGUAUCUCCCCCCUCCUUAACUCAUGCCCAUCUCUGGUGUCACCUAUUACCUGUCCUUCUUAGUGUGUUGGUGCACUCGUGUCGUUCUCGUGUCCCUCCUCAUUUCUUUUUUGAAGUUUCUUGGGUCGGCCGUGAGAGGCGAUGGGUGAAGGAACCGUCAGGCUUGCGUUGUGUGAUGUCGACAAGAACAAUGCGGCAGCUCUUCCGUCGUUGUCCUCCCUCCUCCCGCUUCUUUUCGGCGAGGAAAGCAGCAGACUUGUGUAGCACAGGGUGCUGCUGGCGCCUGCUGUGUGGCAUGUGCGACGAGGCCUCGCGCAAACUGCGUGUGGUCGCUGGAGGGGGUACUGCGACGGGGAGGAUAUUGCGAGGCAACGUGUGCGAGAUAAGGUCGUGGCACAGAGAGGAUACGGCUAUGAGAGCGCUGUGUGCUGUGGGUGCUCCCUCAAAGUUCUUGCGAAAGCUCCGUUCAAAAGUGAGGAAGUUGGGACGAGGGAGCAUGCAUGGACGGACUCGUCGUCUCAUGACCUCCUUUCGGUGCCACCAUUACCACCCCUCACACCUCCUUUUUCUCCCCCAUAUACAGCGUCCCUUUUUUCUUGUUUGCUUCUCCUCCUCCUGUGUUUGCUUUCAUGCAUGUAAUCCAUACGCGGUGGGCGGACUACACCGCCACCCCACUGCCCUCCCCUCUCCCAGUCUUUUCCUCCUCGUUUAGCGUCCUCUUUUUCUUGGCACCCCUCUUUCCCCCGAGCGACGCAACGCCUCCACCUCCCCCUUUCCAACCUGUAUAUCGCACCCCUGUGCCCCUUGCGCGCGCCUCUUACUGUACCGUAACCGUUUUCGCGUACAUGGGCACCAUCUCGGCUUUACUUGUAUAUUAGUCUGGCUUGCCGAACUCAUG
rnacentral:misc_RNA from 1 species